rnacentral:rRNA from 1 species
AUACGGAGGGUGCAAGCGUUGUUCGGAAUUAUUGGGCGUAAAGCGCGUGUAGGCGGUCUUUUAAGUCUGAUGUGAAAGCCCCGGGCUCAACCUGGGAAGUGCAUUGGAAACUGGGAGACUUGAGUACGGGAGAGGAGAGUGGAAUUCCUAGUGUAGGAGUGAAAUCCGUAGAUACUAGGAGGAACACCGGUGGCGAAGGGCGGCUCUCUGGACCGAUACUGACGCUGAGACGCGAAAGCGUGGGUAGC